AGGAGAUAUAGCAUUUAUUCACCGACAAAUAAACUGUACACACACUGUUUGCUACACCUACGUUCACAGCUAUAACACCACCAACAAAACCCACAUUCACCACCGCCGCACACACACACGGUCUGUUGGAAACUCGCUUCAGUUACGCCUCGCUGACAAAC